AGGGUUGUAGCUCAGUAGGAUAGAGCGAGCGCCUCCUAAGCGCUAGGUCGCCAGUUCGAGCCUGGCCAACCCUG
rfam:Halothece sp. PCC 7418, complete genome.